CAGGAUUGUAAUGUGGGUAAACGUCCGGCCGCCCAAACGUCCGCACACCGACUCUCACAGCCUAUUAUAGAAACCGAGGCAAUUACCAACAAGCUGAUAGACGAUCUCCACAAAUCUCCUCCUCGUGUCGGGUUGACGGGGCCAAGAUAGCGAUAUACUCGGGAUGGUUUGCCUGAUAUUAAAGUCGAGAUGAUGUUCUGCACUAAGCCAGUCUCGACGCUUGUUGACGCAGGAACGAACCAACUGAGACCUUGCUAGUGUGUCGCUAUACCAACAGAACCCAUCAUCACUAAGAACCUUUACACAGAAGUGAUAGGAAGAUAGUGUGGCAGUGUGACUAAGCAGGACAGACACACUGUCAACUCUAACUUAGAUAUACUGUAUUGUCAACAAGUUCACACGACCAGCAUCAAGAGGUGCGGCAGACGACCAGCAUCAGGAGGUGCGCCAGACGACCAGCAUCAAGAGGUGCGGCAGACGACCAGCAUCAGGAGGUGCGCCAGACGACCAGCAUCGGGAGGUGCGCCAGACGAUCAGUAUCAAGAGGUGCGGCAGACGACCAGCAUCAAGAGGUGCGGCAGACGACCAGCAUCAAGAGGUGCGGCAGACGAGUGGGCACAACGCUUGCCAGCUGUGAACGAGUACUGGAGAAAGUGAAGGCGGUAGAGCAUAGUGGCGGGCAGGCUGCCUAUAAUAGUUCACAGUGUGUUAUAUCAGCACUGCCCCCUAAUGGGCCGCCAAGCUUACGAAGCCCAUUUUCAAUAUUUCCUUCAACGGUGACCCCAGUUUUCCGUCACCUCAUUAACCAGUAACCGCGCCUUAUCUAAAUGAGCUUUAACCUACGAAUAUGGGAGAGUCCGGACCAAUUUUUACCCAAAAUUAAUUAUUCAGAACACAAUCAAGGCCAACAUAAACGUCUUCGAAUCCUCUUAGCACAAAUAAAAGUAUUUUAAGCCAAUGAGCCCGUCAAGGAGCGGCUCCCAACAUUCAUUGACAAACAUUGAUACAUAACCUCGUCACUCUCUCCAGUUACAGCAACUCUUGUCUAAGUACUGUACCAGAUUUUUGAGGUAUAAUCCCGUAUUGGCUGACCCAUAACCCCCUCCUGACCGGCCAACACCCUAACAAUUAGUUUCGCUAACCUCAGUCCCUCCUACUUAUCCCGGGUAACAUCUGCAGGUGCGGUAGCUGGACAGGACCAUCACCUCCCUCCGUCGUCAAGAUUCCCCCUCAAGACAACAGGUCCAGACACGGGUGUCUCAGCCGCACCACAGGAGGCAACUGAUGGUGCUCGCCGACCCAUGGAGCCAAGAUAACCCUCAACAAUGAUGGCGUCUAUUAACCUACUAAAGUGCGCAAACUUUCCACACGACUUGGCUCCCCACGUAAAUAUAUUUCCACUGUAACCUUCCACGCGACAAUGCAUUAUAUAUAUACUUUUUCACUGUAAUUUUCCAUACAACUCUGAUCCAUACGCACAAAUUGUUGAACUCUAUUUUCAUUUUUCUACAAAAUUUUUAGUUCUCACGCUCACUCUUAUAACUUUCAAUGUUUUUUUCUACCGCAUUCUAGUCUUCUAUCCUUAUAUCCUUCUCUUCGCUGGCCAACAAGAGUCUGUGGAAAAUCGUAGACAAAAGAUGCUAAAAAAUAAUUUUCUUCAAGUGAGACGUAAGCUAGUUUGGGUGUUUGUUGAUUUGAGUGUUUGCUGAUUUUUUCUCUUCAAUAAAAGUAUUAGUACACAAAGAGUAAAAUAAAGUCACAGAUUAAAGGCAAGUUCAAAGGUUCAGAGUUGGUACGACACUGUUUUGAACCUCAUGGACUAAAAACCCCAAUGUGGACCCUCUGGACAAAAAAUUAACGUGAACCUUAUGGACUUAAAAAAACAACUGAACCCAAAAAUUCGUUCAAUGGGUUGCAUCUGAAGUUAAAAAUUGAUGAUACUCAUUUAUUUUUAAACCCUGUGACCUCAAAUAUCAAUGUUUGACCACUAAGCUUCAUUCAGGGUUCAACGAUUGAGGUUCCAAGUUAGAAUGGCAAGGAUUUUUCUUCGUUUUAUACACAUGAUGUAAACCUCGAUCGAGUAUAAAACUCCUUCACGUGAACAAAGGCUACUAAGGCUUUACCGAGGCCAGCUUUGUACCGUUGAAUUGGUACACCGCGACUUACACUUGUCAUUAGCGUCUGUCCUAGUCCUAAACAACACUGCACAACCACCUAGCCUCACUUCUUCCUGAUUUAUGUACUGUACAGCCCUGUAAAUGUAUUCAACGCAUAUCAUUAUGUCUAAAUCAAAUGUAAGUUUGUAUAUUUUCAGC
rnacentral:lncRNA from 1 species